UACGAAGGGGGCGAGCGUUAUUCGGAAUUAUUGGGCGUAAAGGGCGCGUAGGCGGCUUGGCAAGUCAAAGGUGAAAUCCCUCGGCUCAACUGAGGAACUGCCUUUGAAACUGCCUGGCUUGAGGCCGGGAGGGGGUAGCGGAAUUCCCAGUGUAGCGGUGAAAUGCGUAGAUAUUGGGAGGAACACCAGUGGCGAAGGCGGCUACCUGGACCGGUUCUGACGCUGAUGCGCGAAAGCGUGGGUAGCAAACAGG
rnacentral:rRNA from 1 species